UACGUAGGGGGCAAGCGUUGUCCGGAUUUAUUGGGCGUAAAGAGCGUGUAGGCGGCCAUACAGGUCAGCUGUGAAAACUCGGAGGCUCAACCUCGAGACGUCGGUUGAAACCGUAUGGCUAGAGUCCGGAAGAGGAGAGUGGAAUUCCCGGUGUAGCGGUGAAAUGCGCAGAUAUCGGGAAGAACACCUAUGGCGAAGGCAGCUCUCUGGGACGGUACUGACGCUGAGACGCGAAAGCGUGGGGAGCGAACAGG
rnacentral:rRNA from 1 species